AGACGUAGGGGGCGAGCGUUAUCCGGAUUUACUGGGCGUAAAGCGCGCGCAGGCGGCCACGUAAGUCGAGCGUGAAAGCUCCCGGCUCAACCGGGAGAGGUCGUUCGAUACUGCGUGGCUUGAGGUCGGGAGAGGGGGGUGGAAUUCCCGGUGUAGCGGUGAAAUGCGCAGAUAUCGGGAGGAACACCAGUGGGGAAGCCGGCCCCCUGGCCCGCACCUGACGCUCAGGCGCGAAAGCGUGGGGAGCGAAGGGGAUUAGAAACCCUAGUAGUCC
rnacentral:rRNA from 1 species